rnacentral:rRNA from 1 species
UACGUAGGGUGCGAGCGUUGUCCGGAAUCAUUGGGCGUAAAGAGCGUGUAGGCGGCUCGGUAAGUCCGCUGUGAAAGUCCAGGGCUCAACCCUGGAAUGCCGGUGGAAACUGUCGAGCUAGAGUCCGGAAGAGGCGAGUGGAAUUCCUGGUGUAGCGGUGAAAUGCGCAGAUAUCAGGAAGAACACCCGUGGCUAAGGCGGCUCUCUAGUACGGUACUGACGCUGAGACGCGAAAGCGUGGGGAGCGAACAGG